UACGUAGGGUGCGAGCGUUAAUCGGAUUUACUGGGCGUAAAGGGCACGCAGGCGGUCUCGCCAGUCAGGGGUGAAAGCCCGGGGCUCAACCUAGGAAUUGCGCUUGUGACUGGCGGGCUCGAGUACGGUAGAGGGGGGUGGAAUUCCUGGUGUAGCAGUGAAAUGCGUAGAGAUCAGGAGGAACACCGAUGGCGAAGGCAGCCCCCUGGGCCUGUACUGACGCUCAUGCACGAAAGCGUGGGGAGCAAACAGG
rnacentral:rRNA from 1 species